rnacentral:misc_RNA from 1 species
AACGCACAUUGCGCCCUUUAGUAUUCUGAGGGGCAUGCCUGUUCGAGCGUCAUUAUCACUAAUCAAGCCUGGCUUGCUGUUGGACCUCUUGUCGUUAAAAGACAGGUUCCAAAGAUAAUGACGGCGUCAAUUGGACCCUAGAUGCAACGAGCUUUCAUUAGCACGCAUGUUAGAAGCCUUUUGACCCGGUCUUUAACCAUUUUUCUCAGGUUGACCUCGGAUCAGGUAGGAAUACCCGCUGAACUUAA